rnacentral:rRNA from 1 species
UUAAGCGACUAAGCGUACACGGUGGAUGCCCUGGCAGUCAGAGGCGAUGAAGGACGUGCUAAUCUGCGAUAAGCGUCGGUAAGGUGAUAUGAACCGUUAUAACCGGCGAUUUCCGAAUGGGGAAACCCAGUGUGAUUCGUCACACUAUCAUUAACUGAAUCCAUAGGUUAAUGAGGCGAACCGGGGGAACUGAAACAUCUAAGUACCCCGAGGAAAAGAAAUCAACCGAGAUUCCCCCAGUAGCGGCGAGCGAACGGGGAGGAGCCCAGAGCCUGAAUCAGUGUGUGUGUUAGUGGAAGCGUCUGGAAAGGCGCGCGAUACAGGGUGACAGCCCCGUACACAAAAAUGCACAUGCUGUGAGCUCGAUGAGUAGGGCGGGACACGUGGUAUCCUGUCUGAAUAUGGGGGGACCAUCCUCCAAGGCUAAAUACUCCUGACUGACCGAUAGUGAACCAGUACCGUGAGGGAAAGGCGAAAAGAACCCCGGCGAGGGGAGUGAAAAAGAACCUGAAACCGUGUACGUACAAGCAGUGGGAGCCUCUUUAUGGGGUGACUGCGUACCUUUUGUAUAAUGGGUCAGCGACUUAUAUUCUGUAGCAAGGUUAACCGAAUAGGGGAGCCGAAGGGAAACCGAGUCUUAACUGGGCGUUAAGUUGCAGGGUAUAGACCCGAAACCCGGUGAUCUAGCCAUGGGCAGGUUGAAGGUUGGGUAACACUAACUGGAGGACCGAACCGACUAAUGUUGAAAAAUUAGCGGAUGACUUGUGGCUGGGGGUGAAAGGCCAAUCAAACCGGGAGAUAGCUGGUUCUCCCCGAAAGCUAUUUAGGUAGCGCCUCGUGAAUUCAUCUCCGGGGGUAGAGCACUGUUUCGGCAAGGGGGUCAUCCCGACUUACCAACCCGAUGCAAACUGCGAAUACCGGAGAAUGUUAUCACGGGAGACACACGGCGGGUGCUAACGUCCGUCGUGAAGAGGGAAACAACCCAGACCGCCAGCUAAGGUCCCAAAGUCAUGGUUAAGUGGGAAACGAUGUGGGAAGGCCCAGACAGCCAGGAUGUUGGCUUAGAAGCAGCCAUCAUUUAAAGAAAGCGUAAUAGCUCACUGGUCGAGUCGGCCUGCGCGGAAGAUGUAACGGGGCUAAACCAUGCACCGAAGCUGCGGCAGCGACGCUUAUGCGUUGUUGGGUAGGGGAGCGUUCUGUAAGCCUGCGAAGGUGUACUGUGAGGUAUGCUGGAGGUAUCAGAAGUGCGAAUGCUGACAUAAGUAACGAUAAAGCGGGUGAAAAGCCCGCUCGCCGGAAGACCAAGGGUUCCUGUCCAACGUUAAUCGGGGCAGGGUGAGUCGACCCCUAAGGCGAGGCCGAAAGGCGUAGUCGAUGGGAAACAGGUUAAUAUUCCUGUACUUGGUGUUACUGCGAAGGGGGGACGGAGAAGGCUAUGUUGGCCGGGCGACGGUUGUCCCGGUUUAAGCGUGUAGGCUGGUUUUCCAGGCAAAUCCGGAAAAUCAAGGCUGAGGCGUGAUGACGAGGCACUACGGUGCUGAAGCAACAAAUGCCCUGCUUCCAGGAAAAGCCUCUAAGCAUCAGGUAACAUCAAAUCGUACCCCAAACCGACACAGGUGGUCAGGUAGAGAAUACCAAGGCGCUUGAGAGAACUCGGGUGAAGGAACUAGGCAAAAUGGUGCCGUAACUUCGGGAGAAGGCACGCUGAUAUGUAGGUGAAGCGACUUGCUCGUGGAGCUGAAAUCAGUCGAAGAUACCAGCUGGCUGCAACUGUUUAUUAAAAACACAGCACUGUGCAAACACGAAAGUGGACGUAUACGGUGUGACGCCUGCCCGGUGCCGGAAGGUUAAUUGAUGGGGUUAGCGCAAGCGAAGCUCUUGAUCGAAGCCCCGGUAAACGGCGGCCGUAACUAUAACGGUCCUAAGGUAGCGAAAUUCCUUGUCGGGUAAGUUCCGACCUGCACGAAUGGCGUAAUGAUGGCCAGGCUGUCUCCACCCGAGACUCAGUGAAAUUGAACUCGCUGUGAAGAUGCAGUGUACCCGCGGCAAGACGGAAAGACCCCGUGAACCUUUACUAUAGCUUGACACUGAACAUUGAGCCUUGAUGUGUAGGAUAGGUGGGAGGCUUUGAAGUGUGGACGCCAGUCUGCAUGGAGCCGACCUUGAAAUACCACCCUUUAAUGUUUGAUGUUCUAACGUUGGCCCCUGAUCGGGGUUGCGGACAGUGUCUGGUGGGUAGUUUGACUGGGGCGGUCUCCUCCUAAAGAGUAACGGAGGAGCACGAAGGUUGGCUAAUCCUGGUCGGACAUCAGGAGGUUAGUGCAAUGGCAUAAGCCAGCUUGACUGCGAGCGUGACGGCGCGAGCAGGUGCGAAAGCAGGUCAUAGUGAUCCGGUGGUUCUGAAUGGAAGGGCCAUCGCUCAACGGAUAAAAGGUACUCCGGGGAUAACAGGCUGAUACCGCCCAAGAGUUCAUAUCGACGGCGGUGUUUGGCACCUCGAUGUCGGCUCAUCACAUCCUGGGGCUGAAGUAGGUCCCAAGGGUAUGGCUGUUCGCCAUUUAAAGUGGUACGCGAGCUGGGUUUAGAACGUCGUGAGACAGUUCGGUCCCUAUCUGCCGUGGGCGCUGGAGAACUGAGGGGGGCUGCUCCUAGUACGAGAGGACCGGAGUGGACGCAUCACUGGUGUUCGGGUUGUCAUGCCAAUGGCACUGCCCGGUAGCUAAAUGCGGAAGAGAUAAGUGCUGAAAGCAUCUAAGCACGAAACUUGCCCCGAGAUGAGUUCUCCCUGACUCCCUGAGAGUCCUGAAGGAACGUUGAAGACGACGACGUUGAUAGGCCGGGUGUGUAAGCGCAGCGAUGCGUUGAGCUAACCGGUACUAAUGAACCGUGAGGCUUAACCUU